rnacentral:lncRNA from 1 species
AAAAAUAUUAAAUGAAGUCACAAAAAUAAUUAAAAAUCAAAAUCUGAAACUAGAUUUUUCAAGAAAAAAUUUGGCAUUGGUCUCAUAUUUUUAUGACUUCAAAUAAAAUAUUUAUGAAUUUUUUAAAAUAAAAUGAAUUAAAUGGAAUUAAAACAAAAAUAAUGAAAAUAGAAAGAAAAAAACAGUGACCUUAGAUGGUUCAUUAAUUGACGUGGC